ACACACUCUUCAUCAUCACACAAGACUAAACUACAACUAUGAACAACAUCAUCAUCUUCAUCUGGACCAUUGCACUGUUUAUUCAAGGUUUCAGUGGACAGGUGACUGUGACUCAGACUCCUUCUGUAAAAACGGUUACAAUUGGUGAAUCAGUCUCGAUAAACUGCAAAACAAACACAGUAGUGAGCAAUCGCUGUCCAGGUUCAUAUACUUGUAUGGCCUGGUACUCACAGAAACCUGGAGAAGCUCCUAAACUCCUGAUUCAUUCUGCAAACCAAAGAGUUUCAAACACUCCAUCUAGAUUCAGUGGCAGUGGAUCUAGAACUGAUUUUACUCUGACCAUCAGUGGAGUCCAGACUGAAGAUACAGGAGAUUAUUACUGUCAGAGUUAUCACUAUAUCAACAGUAAAUGGGUGUUCACACAGUGAUAAAGAGUCGUACAAAAACGACUGUCAGUCAGACGUCACAGUGACUGCACUGAUACAGCUGAGAGAAACUGCAGCUGCUGAUGGAGGAGCACAAACUACACAAUAUCAAUGUCGAGCAAACUUUAUAAAGACUUUAAAGGUAAAUGUUAUAUAAGAUUUUCUUUAUGCUAAAAUACAUUAACCCAGUUAAUUGUUCAUUGACUAUUACUGCCAUUCAUGUGUGUAUCUCUCUCAAAUGCAGGACCGACAUGGAGAUUUUA